rnacentral:rRNA from 1 species
GAUGAACGCUGGCGGCGUGCCUAAUACAUGCCAGUCGAGCGAACGGACGAGAAGCUUGCUUCUCUGAUGUUAGCGGCGGACGGGUGAGUAACACGUGGAUAACCUACCUAUAAGACUGGGAUAACUUCGGGAAACCGUAGCUAAUACCGGAUAAUAUUUUGAACCUCAUGGUUCAAAAGUGAAAGACGGUCUUGCUGUCACUUAUAGAUGGAUCCGCGCUGCAUUAGCUAGUUGGUAAGGUAACGGCUUACCAAUGCAACGAUGCAUAGCCGACCUGAGAGGGUGAUCGGCCACACUGGAACUGAGACACGGUCCAGACUCCUACGGGAGGCAGCAGUAGGGAAUCUUCCGCAAUGGGCGAAAGCCUGACGGAGCAACGCCGCGUGAGUGAUGAAGGUCUUCGGAUCGUAAAACUCUGUUAUUAGGGAAGAACAUAUGUGUAAGUAACUGUGCACAUCUUGACGGUACCUAAUCAGAAAGCCACGGCUAACUACGUG